rnacentral:rRNA from 1 species
AUACGGAGGGUGCAAGCGUUACUCGGAAUCACUGGGCUUAAAGGGUGUGUAGGCGGUCCGGUAAGUCGGGUGUGAAAGCCCUCGGCUCAACCGAGGAACUGCGCUCGAUACUGCCGGACUUGAGGGAGGCAGAGGUGAGCGGAACUACGGGUGGAGCGGUGAAAUGCUUUGAUAUCCGUAGGAACACCAGUGGCGAAGGCGGCUACCUGGACCAAUAUUGACGCUGAGGUGCGAAAGCGUGGGGAGCAAACAGGAUUAGAAACCCUAGUAGUCC